rnacentral:rRNA from 1 species
GACGAACGCUGGCGGCGCGCUUAACACAUGCAAGUCGAGCGAGAACCAGGGCUUCGGCCCUGGGGACAGCGGCGAACGGGUGAGUAACACGUGGGUAAUCCACCCUCGGCACCGGAACAGCCCGGGGAAACCCGGAUUAAUGCCGGAUGGCCCGCCGGCCCUGCGGGGCUGGGGGAAAAGGUAGCUUCGGCCUCCGGCCCAGGACGAGCCCGCGACGGAUUAGCUUGUUGGUGGGGUAACGGCCUGCCAAGGCGGCGAUCCGUAGCUGGUCUGAGAGGACGAUCAGCCACACUGGGACUGAGACACGGCCCAGACUCCGACGGGAGGCAGCAGUGGGGAAUCUUGCGCAAUGGGCGAAAGCCUGACGCAGCGACGCCGCGUGAGGGAAGAAGGCCUUCGGGUUGUAAACCUCUUUCAGGAGGGACGAAGCCACUCGGGUUAAUAGCCCAGAGGGUGACGGUACCUCCAGAAGAAGCCCCGGCUAACUACGUGCCAGCAGCCGCCGCAGUAA